UUGCAGGUGGAAGUCCGGUCCGGGUAACCGCCAGGGGGCCCGGUAGCAGACUGGCGGCUUCGUCUGGAAACGGGCGGGGUCGAAGCCCAGUGUCGAAAGCCCAUUUUAGGGGGAGCGACUGAGCGGUCCGUAGCAUGA
rnacentral:ncRNA from 1 species